GGCGCUGGGCUUAGAUGGACAAAGUGCCUGUCUAGUAAACAGGAGAUCCUGGGUUCAAAUCCCAGCAGUGCCC
rnacentral:tRNA from 1 species